rnacentral:antisense_RNA from 1 species
GGUCUUGCUUUGUCACCCAGGCUGGAGUAUAGUGGCAUGAUCAUGGUUCACUGCAGCCUUGACCUCCUGGGCUCAAGUGAUCCUCCCAUCUCAGCCUUCUGAGUCUCUAGGACCACAGGUGAUUCUGACAUGCAAACAAGCCUCUGGGCCAAAGUUCCUGUGUCCAAGGAUUAAAAAAAAAAAAUGGAGCAUAAGUCUGAGGCUGUGAACGAGGCUCCUCCUGCCCUCUGGAGCUUGCUGGAAGGAAACACAGCCCAAGAAGUGGACGAAAGAGUUGUUCCAACAACUGCCUACAAGAUGAACUGCUUCCAAAUGAUGAUAGAGGAAAAACUUUCAAGCUGAUAACAUCACAUCAUAGCCCAUGCCAGUCAAAAUUUUUCAACAGGAAGAGUGAAGAAUAGAGAAAAGGUCAAAAGACUGUCUUACUUCACAAAUUUCUGUAGGUCUAGCUUAAUUCAGGAGUGGACUUUAGAGUAUCUGAAGGGGAGGAUGAAACGGAUAGAUUUCAUGCACCUUUGAAAAUAAUUUUUUUUCCACUAAAUUGUGUUUU